UGGGCGAAAGCCUGAUCCAGCAAUGCCGCGUGUGUGAAGAAGGCCUUCGGGUUGUAAAGCACUUUUGUCCGGAAAGAAAUGGCUCUGGUUAAUACCUGGGGUCGAUGACGGUACCGGAAGAAUAAGGACCGGCUAACUACGUGCCAGCAGCCGCGGUAAUACGUAGGGUGCAAGCGUUAAUCGGAAUUACUGGGCGUAAAGCGUGCGCAGGCGGUUGUGCAAGACCGAUGUGAAAUCCCCGAGCUUAACUUGGGAAUUGCAUUGGUGACUGCACGGCUAGAGUGUGUCAGAGGGGGGUAGAAUUCCACGUGUAGCAGUGAAAUGCGUAGAGAUGUGGAGGAAUACCGAUGGCGAAGGCAGCCCCCUGGGAUAACACUGACGCUCAUGCACGAAAGCGUGGGGAGCAAACAGGAUUAGAUACCCUGGUAGUCCACGCCCUAAACGAUGUCAACUAGUUGUUGGGGAUUCAUUUCCUUAGUAACGUAGCUAACGCGUGAAGUUGACCGCCUGGGGAGUACGGUCGCAAGAUUAAAACU
rnacentral:rRNA from 1 species